rnacentral:lncRNA from 1 species
CUGAUAGGUCAAGAAACUUUGAGAGGAGGAGGGAAAACAUGCAAAAUAGAGAUUUUCCAAAUCCUGCAACUGGACCUAACAUGAGUGCACCAGCUCCAGGUGGUAUGCCUCCCAACAACUUUAAUCCCAGCAUGCCUCCUCACAACCGCCAAGGCGAUUAUCCAGGAGGACCACCACCUCCGAACAAUUUUAACAGACCACCACCGCCACCACCGCACAACUACAGCGGACCACCACCACCACCACCACACAACUUCAGCGGACCACCACCACCACCACCACACAACUUCAGCGGACCACCACCACCACCACCGCACAACUUCAACGGACCACCACCACCACCACCGCACAACUUCAACGGACCACCACCACCACCGUACAACUUCAACGGGCCACCACCUCCUCCACCAAACAACUUCAACGGACCACCACCUCCUCCACCGAACAACUUCAACGGACCACCACCACGCAACUAUGCUUCAGCAUCACCAAAUCACGGAGGAGGAGGAGGAGGAGCACCCCACAACUAUGGGGGGCCACAGGAAAACAACUAUUGGGGAGCACAGCAGCCAAACAACUAUGGUGGACCUUCAAACUCUGGCCGGGGACCUGCAUAGAACAACUACUAUGAAGGGGUAAAAAAAGGCUAAUGGUGGUGGAUGGUCUAAUAUGUGCAUAAAAAUCAAGAAGAAUAGUCUAGGCGGUCAGGGUAGUCUAACGGUGGUGGCUGGUCACUGCAUUUUCGUUUUGGUGCUACAAACGAUGAGUUUAAUUUUGCUUUAUGAGUCGGCAUUUGUUUAAAAUCUGUUUAAGUCUUGUGUACAAUUUAAU